rnacentral:rRNA from 1 species
UGGGCGAAAGCCUGACCGAGCGACGCCGCGUGCGGGAUGAAGGCCUUCGGGUUGUAAACCGCUGUCGUUGGGGAGGAAGUGCAGGGGGGUUCUCCCCUCUGUUUGACCUAUCCAAGGAGGAAGUACGGGCUAAGUUCGUGCCAGCAGCCGCGGUAAGACGAACCGUACGAACGUUAUUCGGAAUUACUGGGCUUAAAGGGUGCGUAGGCUGCGCGGUAAGUUGGGUGUGAAAGCCCUCAGCUCAACUGAGGAACUGCACUCAAAACUACCGUGCUCGAGGGAGACAGAGGUAAGCGGAACUCAAGGUGGAGCGGUGAAAUGCGUUGAUAUCUUGAGGAACACCGGUGGCGAAGGCGGCUUACUGGGUCUUUUCUGACGCUGAGGCACGAAAGCUAAGGUAGCAAACGGGAUUAGAUACCCCGGUAGUCUUAGCUGUAAACGAUGAGCACUUGUUUGAAGGGUCCUCCAUAGCCUUUCAGACGUAGCGAAAGUGUUAAGUGCUCCGCCUGGGGA